UACGUAGGGUGCAAGCGUUAAUCGGAAUUACUGGGCGUAAAGCGUGCGCAGGCGGUUAUGUAAGACAGGUGUGAGAUCCCCGGGCUUAACCUGGGAACUGCAUUUGUGACUGCAUAGCUAGAGUACGGUAGAGGGGGAUGGAAUUCCGCGUGUAGCAGUGAAAUGCGUAGAUAUGCGGAGGAACACCGAUGGCGAAGGCAAUCCCCUGGACCUGUACUGACGCUCAUGCACGAAAGCGUGGGGAGCAACAGG
rnacentral:rRNA from 1 species